UGGGAUCAGGCAGCAUCUCAGAGCAAAGAGCAGCAGAAGGGGAUGGAAUAACAGCCCCCUCUCUCUCUCUCUCUCUCCUCCUGUGGGGUGGAGGUGCCAGGCACAGCCAGGGGAUGGAAGAACAGCCCCCUCCUCAUCCUGCCACCCCGAGCACCAGACUUGCCCUUGCUUUCAUACUGCACACCUCUCCUGUCCCUUUGAAAGGAAUCCUGAGGGCAUUCUAAAGCAGGAAGAGUUUGUGGAGUGAGUUGGUUUGGUGUGAUGGACACUGUGCCCUGGACCUCAUUCUCAGCUUUGGUGUGAUGGACACUGUGCCCUGGACCUCACCUUUGGUGUGAUGGACACCCUGCCUGGACCUCACCUUUGGUGUGAUGGACACCCUGCC